CAUCGACUUUGAUUCUCUAUUAACCAAAAACCCGGGACCAUUAACAUGGUUAAGGCCAAACUGUUUGAAGUUCAGAUGCAGCAGGGUACUCUUUCUACUACUAUGUUAAUAAAUACAGAAAUAUUUUCAAAUAGUGGAAAAUGUUUUUUCGAUAUAAAACACUCAUGUCGAUAAAACGAUUCGAGCCCCUUUUUCCAAUGCUGAAUCGAUGACCUAUGUAUAAAGUGAGAAGAAUUCUUUGAAUUUGAAGAAAAAAAAAAAAGAAACAACUUUGCUGACAAAUUACAAUUAUACAUUAUACAAUUCUAAGUACAAUUAUACAAUUAUAAAUUAUUAUAAAUUAAUUAUAUGUAAAUUUUUUAUUUAUUAUUUAUUUAUUAUACUUUUUAGUUUAGUUUUUUGAUAUAUUUUCUAUUUUGGUCAGAAGAAUCCUCCGAAUAUUCUGGUCUUGGAUUAGUGAUCAGUUUCGAUAUUUUGGAAUAUGAAUAGAGAAGAGAGGGAGAGGGUAAGCUCAUUACAUUAGAAAAAAAAAAAAGAUAUGGGAAUUAAGUCCCAAUAAAUAAGAAAUAAUUGAGCGUGAGAGCCAAAUGAAUCGAAAUAUUCAUGUUUGGUUCGGGAAGGGAUCAUGGAAUUUUUGAAAUAAAAAAAAAAAAUGAAUGUAAAGAUAAUCUACUUUCAUUAAGUGAUGAAAGAGCCCAAUGCAAAAAAAUGCAUGUUGGGUCUUUGAAAUAGGUUGAAUCAUUUUGAUAAUAAUCAGUUUGAUCUGUUUUACCAAGAAUGUCUACGGUUCGAGUCCGUAUAGCCCUAUAUUUUAUAUUUUAUUAAUUUAAAGUAUUUAUUAAAUUAAUAAAAAUGAAAUGAAAAUAAUAUAUAUGAUAUAUUUAUUAAAUCCUAACCACUUUUUUUAUCUUAUACCAUCAUCUUCAACUUCUAGCACGCCAAACCCACACUUCAACAUCAUAUUGAGCUAGCAAGCAAUUGGAACACUGGAAUAGUGAAGUUACCUAAUGACUGAAUCAAAGCGCAGCACUUCAAAAGGAAAAGUUAAAGAAUAAGUUGAAUGGCUGCUAAAACUGAAAAUUUAGUUUUGAACAUGGAAGUAUGAUAUUAGUUGUGAACCAAUUAACAAUAUCAUGGCAUGUAUAAGAAUUAUAUAAGACAUGAUCCGUAUACAAAGCUCUUGUAUUGAGUACUUCCAUGUAUUUAGGUUGUGAGUCCAAUAGUACUAGAACUUCCACCAUGAUAUGCAUUCUUCAAGUAAAUCGUACCAAGAUUACCAGUGUGUAGUCUGGCCAUCAGCAUUGCUAACUCAUUCGCUUCACUCCCAGAACUGAUAAAAUAUACAACCAGAAAGGAAGGUUCAUAUUGUUAGGAUAUGAUUUUUUUUUAAUAAAUAUUCACAUUCCUAAAACAAUUCAUCCUGAGGCAUUUAGCAAUCAAUUAACCAGGCCUUUCUUUUCCAGUUAUUUUCCCGAUGAAUACCACUAGCAAAACAUUCUGUUUUUCAAUAAACAGAGUCUAUUAAUAGCAGUGGUUGAUUCAAUUGAUAUUGCUUUUCUUAAAAUGAAGAAGAAACACAAUAAAGAAAAGUAUUUGCGAUCAUGCUUUAACUACUUGCAUUUUGCUUCGGUAAAUUUUAUUACUACUAAGUAAAAUCAAAUAAAAGAACAAACAAACAAAUUUUAAUUAAAAUGAUCAAAUGAUAUAAACAUAAUGCUUUCAUUUUCAUAUUACUCUAAAAUUAUGAUUUUGUUACAAUUGCCUUUUUUUUCUUCAAACCUGCAACCAAACAGAAACAUUAAAAACCUAGUGAUUCUUCAACUGAAUAGAAAAAAUAAUAAAAAAUUGAAAAAAACAAAUCAGCGAAAGAAUAAGAUUUACACCUUGAGAUUUCCAGCCAUUUUGGAAGCCUAAGCCUCAGCAAAAGCAGCAAUCGCGUAAUGGAGAUAAUUAAUGGUAGUGUGCUGAAGAAGUUUACUUUGCUCCACAAUUGCAUUCAAAACCUCCGGAUGCCAAUGUCCACACCAUACCUUUAUAAUUCCAGCAAAUGCAUCCAAAUAUCUCCUCCGGCUUUCAUCAAACAAAUAUUGCAUUGUCCCUUCAGCAAUAUUCAACUGAACACAAUUUUUUUUCAAAAAAAAAUUAUUAUGAAUAAACAAAAUAGAGAAAUUAUAUAAUCUGGAAAAACAAAUGAAAAUUUUUUUACCGGCUUUUGGUAGUAGUAGAAGAGAGAGGGAACCAAGAACUUCUUCCGCUUUUCAAGGAUUUCAUCGACCGACGGUCCAUUGUACAGUUUCGGUUGGUAUUCGAACCAUGGAAGCUGACAUGGCGCACUGUCGGAUGUUGUAGCGGUGGUGGUAGAAGAAGAAGUAACCGAUACAGAAGGAACUGCGGGGGAGAGUAUACGGUUACAAUUGAAGUUUAAGUUUGCUUUGGCUUCUUCAACGCGUCUCUUCAAGAUUCUUCUCUGCAGCAUCGCCAUGUCUUACAAAAAAAUUUCACAGAUUCUUUGUCUUCAAAAAAAUUAUUUUGAGAAAAUGGAAGUGAAGAGAUUUAUGGAGUGAUUUGAGUGUCAUUGAUUUGAGUUUUUACAUUUAAGUGAAGAGAUUUACUAGAAAAAAAAUACAUUGGAGCUUAGCACGGGUUAUGGGAAUUAUGGGUAAUCGCUGAGGCGGUGUUUUCUUAUUUUUUAGCUUAUUUUGUAAAGUGCGUCCUGAACUGUGCUUCGGAGCUGAAUCCAGUUAAUAUGAUAUCAAGUUCAAGUUCGUUAGACUCGAAAUUUUGAGUUUGGAAGUUACGCUCAAGCUCACGGGGUUUAUUUUCUAUUCUUGAGCUUUGCUAGCUUGAUUUCGUAAGUUAUAAACUCGAUAAAAUAUAAUAUUAAUAUUAAAUAUCAUACUUUUUUUUUCAUUUAUUUAUAUAUAUUAAAAAAUAAAAAUUUAAUAAAAUUCAAUUAAAUUUAUGGACUUUUUAAAUUAAAUAUUAAAUGUCAUAACGAUUUUUUAUUUAGGAGAACUCGAUUGCUAGACUUGGUGAAAAUUUUUGGAGUCGCCACCAAUAUUUUUAUAAGGUGUGAUUGGCCAUCCACAAUAUUAUUUUUUAGUAAAAAUAUUAAAAUUAAUUAAAACUUACUAAAAAAAUUUAGGUUUGUGAAAUCAAGAUUAGGUUCGAGAGUACGGUUACGAAUGAAGAAGGUAUUAACACCCUCACAUUGUCCGUUCGAAGAAAGGUAUCAUUUAAACAUGUGUAAUCUUAUAAUUUUUAUAACUUGGUCUUUUUUUAUUUAAGUUUAAUUUCUUAAAAUUUAUUUUAAAACAUUUUUCUCUGUUUUGAAAUUAAUAAUAUUAUUAUUUCGUAUUCUAUAAAUUCUCCAACGCUUUGGUGGAAUUUAUAGAAAAUCACAAUUUAGUAAAUAUUUCGAAAAUAUUGAUCAUUCACAAAAUUCUCGAAAUUUUAUCAUAAGAUAUUUUGUUUAUUUGUUUUAAAAGAGACUUUGGGAACAUCCCGAUUCUUUGGUGAGUUCCCAAAAUUUAUUAAAUAAAUUUUAAGAUUAUCUCGACUCUUCGAUGAAAUCCUAAAAAAUUUUAAACAAGUUUUAAGAUUAUCUCAAUUUUGGCAAGAUCCUAAAUAAAAUCAUUUUUUUAUAGUUAAAAGAAUUAAUUAAUUAAUCUUUAUUAUGAUUAUUUUUAAAAAUUUUAUUAUUUAUUCUUUAAUUAUUUUUUUUUAUAAAAAGAAAUUUAGAUUAUCCUGACUCACCAGUGAAAUCUAAAUAUUAAUCUCUUGUUUGAAGAAAAUCGAACAUUUUCAAUUUCCAUAUAUAUAUUUAAAAAAUUCAAGAUAUCAAUUAUUAUUAAUUUCAUUCUUUAUUAUUCUUUAUUAUUGUUUUAUAUUGUUUAAAUCAAUCUUUUUUUUAAUAAAAAUAAUUUUGGAUUAUCCUAACUCCAUGCUGAAAUCCCAAAAAUUAUUUUUACUUGCAAUAAUUAAAGAAAAUUAAACUUUUUUAGCUUUCUCUAAAAAUUACAUUUAAAAGAUUCAUUUAAACAAUUUAUUUUUUAUUUUAUUUUUUUGUUUUUAAUAUUUUUUAUUUUUUAGCAAAAAUUAUUUUUUUUAAAUUAUCCUAACACUUUGGUGAAAUUUAAAUAGCAUUUUUGCUUGUAAUAGAAUUUAUUUCCUUUAAAUAGUUAUUAUUAUUAAAUUUUUUAUUUAUAUUUUGUUAGGUCUUUAUUUUAUUUUAGUUUCAUUUUUUAUUCUAUUUAUUUAUUUGUUUUUUUUAAUUAUUACCAGUAAUAAUAUAAAUUAGCAAUAAUAAGAAUAAUAAUAAUAACGUCAUAAAAAAUAACAUAAAAAAUAAAAAGAAAAAGAAAAAGAAAAAGAAAAAGAAAAAAUAAAAAGAAAAAGAAAAGAAAAAACCUACGAAACAUGUUGGGUCGACGCGCGGAUCCUGCGUGGGUUGGGUUCGAUCCAGACAUUCAAAACGAUAUCGUUUUAAGGGGCCUAUAAAAGGUUUGUUUUUAGUUUUUUCUUUAUUUUCUCCUUUCUCCUUUUUCUCUCUACCUAGAGCUCCUUUCUCUAAAAAACCCAGCCCAUAUACCGGCCAUCAUGGAACCAGUUUUUGGUCAGUUGCAGUUGUGCUCCGAUGGCUGAAAACUUUAACAGCGUCCAAAAAUUCAAAGAUCCCUAGAUUUCGGUGGUUGAAAAAUUCAAACUUUUCAAGAUUUCAGUGUCGAAAAAUUCAAUAGUCGUCAAAAAUUCAAACUUUUCCAGUUUCCAGCAACCCAAAAAAAUUUUAAAAAAUUUUAAAAAAUUUCCCAGUGAUCAUUUUCGCUUUCUAAACACCUUUCUAAGCCCAGAUUUUUUUUAAAAAAAAUCUAUAACUUCCUAGAUCGAGAAUUUCAUUCUCGGAAAAAUUUUUUUUGUGUGUUUGCUAUUGUUUUUUUUUUUAAUUAUGUGUGUUCCCUCUUAUUGUUCUUCUUCUUUUUUUUUUUUUUUGUACGUUCCUUGCAAAGAUUAACUCUAAGCUUCUGGGAUUCAAGAUCCUAGAUCUUUUGGUAUCUUUUUGUGGAAACUUUGGAUGUCUAUCCGAUGACUUUUGGUUACCGGAUUUCAAGCUGUCAUGUUAGGCAGUAUCAGGAAGAAAUUUUGACCACUUUGGCAGCUUGAUUUCGGUUACUAGAGUUGAAAUCAAAGAAUUUUUCUUUUUACUUUUUUUUCCUUUUGUUUUAAAGAUUAAUAAUAAUAAUAAACAAAAUUAUAUAAUAAUAAAAAAAGAAGAACAAAAUUGGUGUCUACGUUAAAUUACUCAAAUUCAAUUAUAUUUGUCAUUCAAAUAAUUUAAAUUUUAAUUCAAUUAAACAAUAAAUGAGUGAGUUUAAUUUUUUGUAAAUCAAACUUGAGUAAUUUAUAAAUAAUUUAAUUCGUUUAAUCUAAAAUAGAAUAAAUUGAAAGUGAUGCGGAUACUCGUUUCUUAAUUUGAUUAGGAUUAUGCCUUGUUUAUCAUUGUAAUUACUCUGAAAAGCAAAUGGGUAUCUUUGGGAAGUAAGAAUUCUGGAAUUUGGACUGACCGACUGUUUUUGAGAUUUGUUCUUAAAUUAUUUUCAGAUCAGGAAAUAAUUGAAAUGGAUCGGAGCUGGCAACGAUUAAUUAAAGCUGGACAGGACAAAUUACAAAUCUGUAUUGAUUUGGGAGGAUAAUUUUAGGCGUUAUUGAUCAUAUACACUGUCAUGACGGUUUAGGACACCUUUAGAAAAAUUUUAAAAAAAAUAGUCAGUUGUUAAUUAUUUUGAUUAUGUAUGAUUGGUUACUUAUUAAAAUUUAUUUUUAAUAAAAUUUAAAAUUUAAAAUUAAUUAAAAAAUAAUUUUAAAGUCUACAAAACAAUUUAAAUUCAAAAAUCAGUUAUGUAUGAAAAAAAUUAACAUUUUCACAGUGUCUAUUUAAAAUGAUACUGAUUAAUUAUAUAUUAUUCAUUAAUCUUGAUAAAAAUGAUCUUAAUUUUAGAUAUUAAAAAAAUAAUUUCCUUAAUUUAUUAUUAAAAUUUUGUUUUUUAUUAUUUUAUUUAUUUUUUAAAAGUCAUUUCAUUUUUAUUCAAAAAAUAAAUUAGAAUUUAUUAUUGAAAUUUUUUAAAAUAUUCCAAUACAUUGUUAAUAUCGAGAGAAAUCUUCUGACUAAAGGAUUUCUUAAACAUCGCUACUUGAAAUACUUUAGAAUCUCAUCUUCGGAGGCUCGCAUUUAUUUUUAAAAAAUUAAAGGACAGUAUUAAUGUAAAUAAUAAAAUAUUAGAAUUCAUAUUUUAUUUAUCUUUUUUUAGAAAUAUUUUUUAUUAAUUUUCUUUUUUAUUUGUUAAAAGAAAAUGAAAUUUUAUCAUAUUGAAAAUUUUUUGAUAAAUACCCCUAUAUGUUAGUAGUAUUUGAAAAAAAAAAUCUCUUCACCAAGAGAUUUCUUAAGCAUUACUAUUUGGAUUAUCUUAAAAUCUCAUUAUCCGAUAAAAGUUUCCUUUCUAUCAUUUUUAUUGUUUAUAUUGAGGGAAAUUAAUUAAUUAAUUAAAUUUAUUAUUCUUUAGAUAAAAUGGAAAAUAUUUAUUAUAUUAAAAAAUUUUAUAAAUAUUUUAAUACGUUGAUAGUAUUUAAAAAAAAAAAACUUCACUUAUAGAUUCCUUAGAUAUCACUACUUGGAUUAUCUUAAAAUUUCAUCAUCGGAUGAAAAUUUUAUUUCCUUCAUUUUAUUUAUUUUUUUUUUGUUUUUAUUUUAUUUAAAGAAAUAGUGGAAUUUAAAAUUACCAAAAAUUGAAAUUUUAUUUUCAUUUUAAAAAAUAAUAAUAGAUUUUUAUUUUGGAACAUAAAUAAAAAAAAGUAAAAUAAUAAUAAUAAAAAAGUAAAAUAAAAAAUAAAAAAUAAAUUAGACAAACAAUCAUAGAAAUUUACAAGUCUUUUGGAUGAAUCAGUGCAUUUCUUGAAAUAUGUGUUUUCAAGGAGUGUUUUUGAAAAGAAAAAGAUAAUGGGCUUUAUCUAAAGAAAAAACAAGACAAUUCAUGGGAGCUGGCUUAUCUAACGAAAAAACAAAACCCUAAACUUUCAUUUCUAUUAAAAAAUGAAUGAAAGUAAUAAGGCUUUCUAUUUAGUACAUGCUCUUUUAUUUUCUCUUUAGCUUUCUAGUGAGUUUUUAAAUUUUUUUCUUUAGACGAAAGAAAAAAUUAUGUUCGUCCAAGCAACGAGCAAAAUGCGUCCAUCUUCUAGCGUUUAUACUUUUUUAUUUGGCUAAAAUAUAAAAAAAGUCUUUUAAUUAUUUUAUUUUUAAAAAUAAACUAUUAUAUUUGUAUUAUACUCAAAUAUGUCUUUAUUCUUUAAAGUGUACUCAAAUAAAUUAUUAUUUCAAAUAAAAAAUUAAUUUAUGUUAAGAGUUUAUUUAAAUACAAAUUAAAAGUUAAUAUCUUAUUUAGAUAUAAAUUAAAAUUUAAAAGUUCAUUUGGAUGCAAAUUAAAAAUUAAAAAUUUAUUUAGAUCCAAUAAAAUAUAUAAACUUAUCUAAAUAAAAUGAUAAAAUUCAAGAAACUUUUUAUUAUUUUAGCCUAUAAUAUUUAUAAGUUUCACGCAAGAAAAUUUCAUAUAUGGGCUAUGCUUGUCGGUUUCUCAUGUCAUCCAAUGUGCAAUUUUAAUGAUAGUGGAUGUCUAAUUUAUUUUUUCAUUCACCUUUUUGUUAUUCUCUUCUUUUUUUAGUUUUCAUAUUUUAUAUUUUAUAUUAUAUAAAUAAUUAAAAUUACCUUUGGUCUUGAUUUUUUUUUUUAAAGAACAAAGGAUUUCAUUUUCAUAAAAAGAAUCAAUACAAAGAGCCCCAUCCAAGGGUAAGUACAAGAAAAAAAAAUGCAAACCCAAGCAAUCUUAGAAUGAAUUUUUUGUUAUUCCAAUUAUAUUUCUUACUCUUCCUUUUCUUACUCGGUUCUUUCAGCUUUGGAUCGAUUAUAAACUUUAAACAACAAAUAGACUCAUUGAUAGAAACAGUAUGUACAAGUUACAAUGCUCAUUUUUUAUUAUUAAAUGCUAUCCUUUUCUUGGUGAACAACAUAGACAUAUUUGUAAACUCAGUAGCCAAGUAAAAUUGAGAGAGUCACUUGCAUCCUUUAAGUUCUCAUUGUCACCAAAAUCAACCUCCAAACUCUCACAUUCAGCCUCCAACAAGGCAACAUCAUCAUAUCAAUAAUGUGGUCGUAAUUGUGAAAAUAAAUUACACUCUAUACAAGUUUAAAUGGUCAAAAUUGUGAUGAUUCUUUUUUUUUAUAUAUAUAUAUAUAUAUUUUCUUCUUCAGAAAUUAUGAUAUGUACUUUUUGGCUAAUUCUUAAAUCCAUCUUUAUAUAUAUAUAUAUAUAUAUAUAUAUCUACUUAUAUGUAGACACCCAUCUGUGUACGGUGUCUAUUGAACUUAUUAUUAUUAUUAUUAUUUAUUAUUAUUAUAAUGUUAUACUAUAUUAUUAUUAUUAUUAUUAUUAUUAUUGAUUUAUAUGUUAUACUAUAUUAUUAUUAUUAUUAUUAUUAUUUCUAUUUUAUUUUUAUUUUAUUUUAUUUUCUUUCCUAAUCGGUGAAAUUGAAACUGAAACUUGGAAUUCAAUGCAGUCAAAGGGAGGAUUUUCAGGAUCAAUCCAAAAAAUCAGCAAGGAAUCUAGACCAAAUUUAGGAUUUGGGCAAAAUCCAAUCCUAGAAUUUUAAGCCUGGAUUAAUUCUGUCCAUUUCCUAAAAUUUUUUCUAAGGUUACCUAUAAAUUGAACUAACAUUACAAAAGAACACACAAGGGAUUUUAGGUGAGAACGGGAGAUUGGUGAAAAAAAUCUAGUUGUUGCAACUCUUGAUAGUAAGGAGUUUCUAGAUUUUUUAUCUUUGGGUAUUUUGGAUUCGUUUGAAAUUUCUAGAUUUAGAUUUGGGUUUCUGGGUUUAGAUUUAGGUUUCUGGGAGGUGUCUGAAAGGAUCUGGGCAAAAUCUGGAGAAUUUGGUAAUUUUCUAGGAUUUUUCUAGAAGAAACUAGGUUUUGGAUGAACUAUGAAUAUUUUGAUGAGUUUUAUAAUGAAAGGUUGAAUUUUUCGACCACAUUCUAGCCAAUUUUUUAGAAACCGAUGGGUUUUCUAGUUUUCAAUUAAAUUUUUUGGUGACUUCUCCAAAAACCUAUGAGUUUUUUAGUUUUCGGUGGGUGUUCUUGUCUAUCUUAGAGAGAAAGCAGAGAAAAUAAGGUCUAGAGAGAGAGAGAGAGUGUGCAGAGGCUUCUGAAGCAAAAAUGCUAAGAAGUGCCUUUUAUAGCAACCCAAAAUGGUAUCGUUUUGGAUAGCCCAAGAUCUGCGCAUUGACCCGCUCACCCGCACGCCGACCUACACUCUGACCUGACUCGAUCGUAGGUUUUUUUUUUCUUUUUUGAUUUUAUUUUAAGCUUAUUUUAUUUUAUUUUUAAUUUUUAUUAUUUUACUGAUUUUAUUUUUAUUUGAGAAAUUUUAUUAUUUUGUAAAAAAUUUUUCUGUUGUUUUAUUUUUUAAAAUAACUAAGUUAAGAAAAAAACAAAUAUAAAAAAUCUUUUCAACUAAUAAAAAAUGAUAAAAAAAAUCUUUUCAAAUAAGUUUAUAGAAUCUACCAAACUAUUGGGAAGUUUCAUAAACCAGUUUUCAAAAAACAAAAAAAAAGUAAACAAAAAUAAAAAAAUAAAAAAUAAUUUUUAUCCUCUAAACUAUUGGAAGAUUGUUUUAAAUUAAAUCCUACCAAACUAUUAGGAGAUUUAAUGAAAUUCUCAAUUUUUUUUUACAAACUUUUUUACAAUAAAAUCUUACUAAACUAUUGGGAGAUCUACUUUAAAGUAAAUACUACCAAACUAUUGGGAGACUUUACUGACUUUUUUCGAAUAAAAUACUUUAAUAAAUCUAAUGAUGGAGCCUUUUCAGAAUGAAAAACUAGUCUCUAUGAAUACUUCUAAAAUGACAGAAUUAUUUUAAAUUGCUACCAAACUAUUGGGACAAUUUUAAGACUAAUUUUCAAUAAUUUGAUAAAUUACAAAUAUGAUCAAGACUUGGAUAAUUUGAAAUAAAAUUGGUACCAUCAUUUGGAUAAGUGUUGUGGUGAUGCUAUAACCUUUCCUGUGUAUAAUCAUACUCUUGAAUCUAAACUUUAAUUUCAUAAACUAAGAUCUACUAUUUAAAAAUACCUAAAUCGAUCUUAGGACUCUUAUUUAAAUAUGACAAAUUCAAUCAAGAGGUCAAUCACACAUAAAUAGAAAAGAUUGGUAAUGACUCAUCUUAUCCAUGUCUAAUGGUAGGUCCACGGAUCUAUACGUUAUAAUAGUUUGAUGAUUCCAUUGGGGACAUCAAGAAUUAAAUCGGUAGAUGAUUUCUUAUUAUCCAAGCCUUGCCUAAUAAAUUCAAAAUUUAUUUAUUUUAUUUUUUUUCAUUACUUAUAUUUGUUUUAGUUAUCCAUUUAUUUAUUGUAUAUAUCUAUCAUACAUUUGCAUGGGCAUAACAUAAAGCUCUCUACUUAAGCUCUACCCUUAAGAGAAAGUGAAGUACCUAUGCCCUCUUGAGAUUUCAUGUCUCUGCAUAGGCCUGUGAAACACCUUUAUUUAAAUUGAACCCUUUUUGGCUAAAGUCUAUGAUGGGCGGGGAUUGGGGUGCCUUACUAGUUUAUAAUGGACGAUGAUGUAAUGAAUAAUUUAGGAACCUUUUAGAAUUUAUCUACACCACAUGUAGUUAACUUUAAGAGCCUAACUAUUAGGUAGAGCAUGCCUCUCUUUUGUGUUAGAAAAUCCUAAAUAGGACCCAUGAUUGGAUAUUCAUUUGUAUGCUUAUGUAUUAUCUUUUUGUAUAUUUUUUACUAACCCUAUAUGUUGAUUUCUAUAUUUAUGCUUGUUACUGACCCUUUUCUUUUAUCAUGCAUUCAUAUUAUUAGAUUCAUCAUAAGGAAUAUUUGUCAUGAAAUAUUUUUGAUAAAGAAAAUCUCAAUUACAUUCAUAGAAAGCCUAGGCAAAUCCUCUAUUGAUCUAAAAAGAGAAUCUAAAGAGUUGAAGCUUGCAAACAAAAGGCUAAAAAUGGAAAUCCAAACACUGAAGCAAGAAAAUAAUGGGUGGAGGAAUUUGUGCAUUGACUUUAAUACAAUAAGGUCAUCCAUUAAUUAAGAAGUGACCCAACUUUUGCAAGAAAAUAGACAAUUACAAGCAAAACUACAAGAAAGGGAUACAAUGCUUUUUGAAGCACAAAGCAUGUCCAGAUGGUAAAUGGAGUAGUAGCAGGAGUCAAAGCACAAAUCAAGGCUAUGAUUGAAGAAUGUGAGCAAAUGAAAUAAGCAUAUAUGAAGAAACAUAACCAGUUAAAGUACUUUAUUGACAAAAUCAUUGUGGCUGUUCACAAAGCCAACGACAUGAUAGAAAUGAUUGAAAAGUGAAAAACAAGGGUGCCAGCAGUGGGAACAUAUGGUAAAAAAUUGAUAGAUUUCCUUAGUGAAAUGCAAAGCCAGUAUUGAUAAGCCAUGGGUUUCUUUUCCCAAUAGUUCUAAACUUUUCAUGGAUGUAAUGUUAGAUUUGGUUAAAAAUAACUUUUAAUUCAAUAAAGAUUUUUUUUGAUAACAAUUGCUAUGUGGUAAAAUUUUCUUAUUGGAUUCAUACACUUUUGUUUUAGUACUCAUUCUCAUGUAUAAUUUGAGAGUUUCAUAGACAUCAUUUUUAAAUUUGCAUAUCAUGAAAAAUUAAGGUUUAAGGAUAGCUCAACACCAGUAUUACACUUGGGCUAGAGCUAAGAAGAUGGAGCAAGACAAUACAGAUUGGUUUGAGAGGUUAAAAAAGGCCCAAGAAGUAAUCAAAGGAAAGUUAAGCAAGAUCUUUGAAGCUUUAGAAAAGAUACAUAGAGGAAAAGCAGUAGAAGAAGACAUAUCACUUGAAGAUACUGAGCCACUGUAUCCUUCAAGUUUUGUUUCACAUCGGGCCUAAACCAUUUCAAGCUUUUUAGCCUUGAAUUGAUCCUUAUUUUGAAAUGACAAGACAUUAAGCUAAAUAAGCUUGAUCAAGAUUUUGAAAAAGAUUUAUUUAGUACAUGUUCUUAAGUUUUGUAUUUUGGUACUAAAUAAAUAAUAUGAUUUUCAAAGUUUAAACAAACCUUUCUUUAUUUUCAUAUUUCUCAAACCAAAUCUAUCUUUAAAGAUUAUUUAUUUAAGCUUAAAUGAAAGUCCAAUUGUUGUUUUUAAAGUGAAUUUAUUCAUUUUGGACUUAAUACAAUUUGAAUAAUAUUGGUUUUGAGAAAUAGAUUAACUUAAGAAAGUUGUUUUAAAGAACAAAGGUUUCCAACAUUGAACUUGUUUUAUUUUUUUUGUAUUAAUUCACAAAGUUUUAAUAUUUGAAUUUUAUAUGGUUGGAAAGGUCUUUGAGUCUAAUUUCUAAUGGAUUAAACAAAAUCAAAAUCCAAAUUUUCUAAGAAAAGAUUUUGAAUUUUUACUAGACACUCUGUAGUUGUCUAAAAACUGCAUUUGAAAAUUCACUAUAAUUUGUACACAAUGAAUUAGGUGAUUAAUUUUAUAUGGAUAAAAAGCCCUUUAAGUCUAGUUUCAAAAUCUUCAAAUGGUUUGUGAUUUGGGCUUGUAUAACUCAAGAUAUGAUUAAAUUAGCGAGUAGAGUGCAAAAUAAAAUACAACAGAGCAGCUUGACAGGAUCGAUCCCCUAGGUUUCAGGAUUGAUUCCCUAGCUGAACCAAUUGAUCCCCUCAAGGAAAGGAUCGAUCAGGUCAUGAUUUUUAAAGGCAAAUUGGUUCAAAACAUGAACCAAUCGAUCCCCUCAUUGAAGAGAUCGAUCGGGUCUUGGCCAUAAUACUCUAAGGGCUACUUUUUCAUGCCUCCAACAGGCAUUUCUUCACUCCAAGCUUCCCCAACGGCUAAUUCUUCAAUUUCUUUAUAUAUUGGCCACUCCAACACAUCAAGAAGGUUGAUGAAUUAAGAUAGCAAGAGCCAACAAGCCAUAUUUUCAUUCUUUUAAAGAAUCAAGAGUUUUUAGAGGUUUAAAGUCUAUAUCUUUGUAUUUAUUGUAUCCAAAUUAUAUUUGUUGUCAUUCAUCAUUUAAUUGUACUUAAAGUUAGCAAAUACUUGGCCUUAGAGAGGUUGUUCUAUUGUUUGAAAAAUUACCUUGAUAUACAAGGGUGGAAGAGAACAAGAGGUGAGGUAUCCUCUUGAUAUUGUAAGGGUAGAGGUUGUUAUCUAAGCCUUGAGAAAAAGAUAGAGAUUUAGUACAAGAUAUGUUUGUAUCUUGUAAGAAUUUUUCUUCAAUUAAUGGAUUGAAGCCUUGGUGUGGACAACCAAAAGAGAGGAAGUAGGUGCCUUGUGGAGAAUGAUCGAACCUCUAUAAAUCAUUGUGUUUGAUUUCUCUAUCCCUAUCUCCUUACAAUUUAUUGUUGUUUAUAUUUGAUUUUAGGUUCUUUAAUUGUUAUUGUUUGCAUUAUAUUUUCGUUAAAAGUGCUUAUUAUUUUAAUUUCAAUUUAAUUAUAUUUUAAUUUCAAUUUAAUUAUAUUAAAAUUAUUUGUUUGGGAAGAAUUUGGAAAGAUCCAAUUCACCCUCUCUUGGAUCACUAUCUCAUUUAUAAAGCUAAAAAAGCUUUUAGCAACAACAAACCACGUUAUCAAAUUACAAUCAAGGGAAUGUUUAGUGUUAUACCAAUCUUAUCUUCAUUGAAAAAGUAGAUGAGCUUAUCCAAAUGCCCAAAAUAAAUAAAACUAAAAAAGAAAUGAAGUUACAGAUGGCUACAUCCCUAGAGGACUCUAAAACCAAUCAGGCUAUGAGCAUGAUCGACAAAAGAUUGCAUGCUAUAGAAGGCAUCAAUUUUUAUGGAUCCAUGGAUGUUGCCAACCUUUUGGUUUCAAAUGUUGUGAUUCCUUUAAAAUUCAAGAUAUUAGAAUUUGAAAAGUAUGACGGUACCAAGUGACUCAUUACACAUAUCUCAAUGUAUUGUCAUAAGAUGACAGCACACGCCAGCAAUGAGAAACUGCUCAUGUAUGUAUUCCAAGAUAGCUUAAUCGAGUCUAUGGUAAGAUGAUAUGUUCAGUUGGAUAGGACUCGCAUAAAAUCAUGGAAGGAUCUAAUUCCAUCAUUCAUCAACCAAUAUCGUUACAUCAUAGAUAUAACCUCUGAUCGCCUUUCAUUGCAAAGAAUGAAGAAAAAACCUUUUAAGUCUUUCAAAGAAUAUGCCCAAAUAUGGUAAGAUAUCGCUGCCUAGGGAAGAUCAUAAAAAAUGCCAUCAAAAGUGAUAAAUUGGAAGAAGGAGAAUCAUUUGCUGCUAGAAAGAUGCCCUAGAAAAAAAAAAGAGACUCAAGCUAUGAGUUUCAAUAGGCAACAAUUUAAAACUACCCUAAGCCAACCUAUCUUACAUAUCACUCUUUUGUAAGUCAUGUUUCUACUGUACUUUACCGAUCAACUCCAUGAUCUUUUUAUCCAUCCCCUUUUAGGCCCUCAAUUCAUCCUAUUACCCUGACAAAUGGUGCGCAAGAAUCAUAGAAUAGGGAAAAGCUUACAUUUUACCCUAUUCCUAUGAGUUAUACUAAACUAUAUCAAGAGCUUUACAAGAAUCAUUUGAUUGCUUCCUGUUACUAUAAAACAACUUGAACCUUCCUAUCCCAAAUGGUAUAACUCCACUGCUCACUAUGACUAUCAUUUUGGGGUGGUGAACCAUUCCACUAAAAAUUGUAUUCCUUUGAAACGUAUCGUAAUCACUAGCAUCAUACAUGUCAUGUUACAUUGAUAUUUCAUUAAAAGUUAAUAAUUAAGUGAUAAAAAAUUUACUUAAACGUUGAUGAUAAAAAUCUUAAAUUUUAUAAUGGGUGACCAAAAUAUAAAAAAAAAAAUCAAAGGUUAGAGAAAAGUAUAUCCUUCAUUCAUUCAUCAUCAUCAAUGUCAACGUCAUCGUCGUCGUCAUUGUUGUCAUGUAUAUUUUAAAUAUUUAUGAUAAAGUUUUUUAAUUUUAGAAGCAUAUUUAUAAUGUAUCUAUUUUUUAAAGAUGAUAUUUUUUUUUAGGAGUAAAAGAUAUUUAUUACUAAAGUGCAAAAUUACAACCAUGCUACAAAAUCAUUACUUCUAAGAACACCCAAUUUGGCCAAAGAAUCUGCAAAAUGAUUGGCCUCUCUACAAAUAUAGACAAAAGAAACCUUUCUCACCCUAGAGUAAAGGUUAUACAACUUGUUGAGAAGAUUAUUGUAUUUCCUGUUGCUUACUUUGUUGAUCCAUGCUCUAACCACUUGAGAAUCACUUUCAAUAAUCAGUUCAGGAAUGAAAUCAAAAAUUGAAUUUACUACAAUAGAAAGAGCUUAUGUUACUGUCAUUAACUCUGCUAGAUUGGAAUCUUUGACACCAAUGCUUUUUGAAAACAUGAGCAAAACUUCACCUUUGCAAUUGCGAAGUACACCUCCUAUUCCUACGGAUCCUGAUUUACCCGUUGCAGACCUAUCCACAUUGAUUUUUCGGACACCAGUUGGAGGAGGAGACCAAUGAAUGUUGUUCUUUGGUUGUUUUCUAUGAAGCAGUAUGGUUAACUCUUUUAUGUUGUGCAUGAAAUUCAGGUCUGAAAAAUACUGAUUUGGAAAAUUUACCCCAUCCACUAACCAAGCCUAGCCCAUGUUAAACUAAUAUAAUUAGAUCAACUGAAAUGUUUUUUGCUUAAAUAUUUUCUCAUUUCCAACCAACCAAAUCGACCAUAGAAUUGCAUAAAACACUGUAUCCCAUAUCGGUUUCUAGUUACUACUUACAAUAAGGCUUUGUCUAAGACAUAAACAGGGAUUUAACUGAACCUGGGAUAGACUAACUAUUGUUCCAUUAUCGAAUAAAUUUGUACCAAAUUUGUUAUGCAAAGGGACAGUGCAGAAAUAAAUGAUCGAUAGUUUCUUUUUUCUCAUAAAAAAAAACCCUUUGUUCACCACAUUUACUAGACAUCUUCUUCUGUGAAAUAAAUCAAAGAUAGGAAUACUUAAAUAGGUUCUCAAAUUUUACGAAAAAAAAAUGAAACUUAGUCAUCAAUCUUUUAUCACAUGAAAUGAAUGUUAUAAAUUUUUAUUUUAUUUUAUUAAAUGAAAGUAGGGUUUGUAAAUUACAAUCUAGAGUCACUUAAAAAGAAAAUACAUAAGCUAUAUAAAUUUUAAAAGAGAAUAGAAAACAAAUUUUAAAAGAGGAUGAAAUAAUUUUCCACUUAAAAAAAAUUGAGAUUAAAAUCACCUAAAUUAUCUGAUGAACUCUUUAAUCUCAACUAUUACCUAAAUACUGAAUGCAUUCAGGAAACUAAAUAACAAUAACAAAUUACAUAAAUCAUUGUUUUAUCAUUAAACUUAAAGAAUUAAACCAUAGCUACAAUUAACAAGAACAACCAUAGGAAAAUUAUAAGAGUUUUCUUGGAGGAAAACAUUCUAAAAAUGAAGUUGAUUGUUCAAGCACAUAGGCAUCCCAAAAAAGAAAAUUUCUGGCCAAAUAUAAAAUGCAAGGUUUCAAUAAUUAUAAAAUAUUCUGCCCACGAAGGAUCUACAUUGCAAAGUCUUCAUUAUAUUGUAAAGACAUCAAGAAAGUCAUUUCAAGUCCUACAUCAUAAUUUAGUUUUUUUUUUAGAAAAAAGAAACUAAUUGUAGAAAAUAAAAAUUAGGAUGCAGUUCAUUAUUGGAGAUUUCUUUAAAAUUUCGAAUUAGAGUUCACUUUAAUUGGCAAGUAUUUUUAGGGUCUUUUUUUAGGAUUACAUUAGUAAUAAUUAUGUUUUUUUGUGAAAAAGCUUCUCCAGUUUUGGAUAUAGUUUUUACUAAGAACAUGGAGCUGGCUGAAGGCAAACGCAAUGGUGCAUUAAGCUAGCUCUUAUGAAUAAAAAGCCUGAAUAUCAUUAACUAAACUUAAAUAAAGAGUAUUUGAGUUGAAAACCCAAAAUGGCAACUUAAAUAAAGAAGCAUUGAAUGGAGUGGGACAAUUCUUAGUAGUUGCUAGAAGAUCUCUUUAGUUUUGGAAAAGCUUGUUUUGCUAUAUUCUUGAAAAGUCAGAAGCAUAAAUCAAGCAUCCUUGAUGAAUUGGUUAAUAAUGAUAUGAAUAUUCAUUACGCAAUUACUUGUUUUUUCCCUGUUAUAACCUGCUAGAUAAUGCAUGGAACACUAAUCCCUUUAUUGAAAUAAAAUACAUCUUUAUUUAUCUUUCCCUUUUAUCCCUUUCAUUAAAAAAGAAAUGUACGAUGUGUUGUAAUUAUCAUGAAAUUUAAAAGAUGAUAAGUGAAUAACAAAGACCAUGAAAGACACACAUAUUAUUUUGAAGGAAAUUUAAAAUGUUGAGCAAAAUAGUAAAGAGCAAGGGUCAAAGAGAAAAUGGGCCUAUAAGCUCAUAAAAGCUAAUAAACAUUGAAUGUAAUAAAUCAUGGUUAUUGAUUAAGAGGAACCUUAUUCGAAUUUUACCAUAUAUUGGAAUGCACGAGAUUCAAACAAAGGGAAAUAAACAUUGAGAAAUUUCGAAAACUAGAGAAAAGUGACAUAAAAUAAGGAAAAAAAUGAUGGUCUUUUCAUUGGCAUCAUGAUCAUCACUCAUUGUACAACAUUGCAAGAACAUGAAAAUUUCAUUCAUGCAUGUAUACGUGUGACAUAGAAAUAUCAAAGUCUAGGACGAACCAAGACCAACAAAAGAAAGUAUGUCAAAUCAAGGAAACAAUUACCUUCGAUUAGAGAAAUCUUUCAAAUACUAUUGCCUCUGGUUAGAGGAAUCCUUAAAAAAUCAUCACCUCUUGUUAGAGGAGUUCUUUUAAAGUUUCAUUGCCUUCGGUUAGAGGAGUUUUUAAAGUUUCAUAACCUUUCGUUAAAGGAGUUUUUGAGGUUUCAUAGCCUUUGGAUAAAGAAAUUUUUAAAUUCAUUGCUUUUGGUUAGAAGAGUUUUUUUCAAAUAUCAUACCCUCUGGUUAGAGGAAUUUUUUUUUAAAAAAAAUUUAAGAACCUCUAGAUAGAGGAUUCUUUCAAAUUAAGCAUGAUUUGUAAGACCAACAGGCAAAAUCUAUAAGGCCAUUUAGAAUUAUUUAAUUCUAAGUAUCAUUGCCUCUGGUUAAAAGAGUUUUUAUAGUAUCAUUACCUCUUGUUAGAGAAGUUUUUCAAAGUGUUAUAGCCUCUAGUUGGAUGAGUUCUUUCAAAGUCUCAUUGCCUUUGGUUAGAAGAGUUUUUCACAGUAUCAUAAUCUCUGAUUAGAGGAGUUUUUUAAAUUUAAAAGCCUUUAGAUAAAGGACUUUUUUAAAACUAGGCAUGAUUUGUAAAACCAAAAGGCAUAAUCUAUUAAACCUUCUAGAGUUUUCUUUCAAGUAUCAUAGCCUUUGGUUGAAGAUGUUUUUAAAGUCUCAUAGUCUUUGGUUAGAGAAAUUUUUUAAAGUCUUGUAGCUUUUGUUUAAGUAUCAUAGCCUUUGGUUAGAUGAGGUUUUUUAAAGUCUAGUGGCCUCUGGUUAGAAGAGUUCCUUUAAAUUUUUAUCACCUCUGGUUAAGAGAGCCUCUUAAAGUUUAAUUGCCUUUGGUUAGACACAGCAAAAUUUAAUGAUAAAAUCCUUAAAAAAAAUAUAUUAUUCCUUAAUUCUUAUAAGUAAAAAAAUAUUUCUUGAAUUUCACCUAAGUGUAGCAAUAAUUCAAGAAAUUAUUUUUGCUAAGAAUAUUAAAAAAAGUGAAAAAAAAUUCAUGUUCAGUAUGUAUGGGCCUAGACAAAAUUGUUAUCUUUCGGUAUUUGCCAUAUUCUUGAUUUUUAGUAAUGUGCAAACAAGGGCAGUUAUGAACAUCUAUUUUGUUUGGGAAAUCAAAGGUUGUAUCAAAGUAACCUAAACCAAUUCACAAUCCCAUUCGGGUUUGGUCAAACACCUUAAUCGGAUAUAUAGAGUUGUUUUCGUACUUGAUCAUUUUAAAUUUUAUUAAAAUUUUACAAUUUCAUUUACUACUUUUUACUUUCAUUUUCAUUUAUUAUUGUUGUUGUUGUUAUUGUUAUUAUUAUUAUUACUACGUUAUUUUUUUAUUUUCUUUCUUUCUUUGUUCUAUUUUUCUUUUUCCAUCAUAGAUGUCCUUGGUGCAUUUAUUGCACCAAAUUCUAACCACCCUACCUACCUCCAUGCUUGACCAUUGCCCCAAAAAGUCCACAAAUAAUCCUAGAAAAUCUGGGAUCUAGUUUCUAAAUUGACAUUAUAAAUAGAACCAUUUACAUAGAGUUAAAAAGAGAACAACAAUUUUGAUAGAGAAAAAAUCAAGCAAAAAAACCUAUUGCCACUCUAUUAGAAUCACCCACAAACACAAACAAAAAUUUUCAAUAUCCAUAUCUUCAAGGGGAACUAGCCAAAAAAAGAAAAAAAACUGAAACGAAAAUCCUUGAUCUAGAAGGAUUGAGAUUUUUUUUUUUUUUGGGAAAACUAUUUAAGGAAUCAUAUUUAGGGGAUAGAGAAGAGUGUUUUGGAUUUUUUAGAAAAGUUUUUUAGGUUGGCUAGAAUUUGGAUUUUGUUUAAUAUUUCAGUAACUAUUGAAUUUUUUAGUCACUACAAUAUGAAAAAUAGGCUAGCAUCUAGGAACCUUUUAAGUUUUCUUAUGCCGAUUGAAGAUUUUGGGACACCAACUGAUAUCUAGGAUUUACAACAGUUGAUGAAAGAAUAUUUUUCUAGAGAGAGAGGCUCUGGGGGAGAGAGAGAAAAAAAAGAAAAAAAACUAGAAAAGGCCCUUAAAUAGGCCGAGUUAAAUGAUGUCAUUUUGGCAUUCAAAGGAUAUGACCAAUGCACCGACCCAUUUGGUUAGUUUUUCUUUUUCUUUUUCUUUUCUAUUUUGAAUUUUAUUUUAUUGUUUUUAUUUUAUAUUUUACUGUUAUUAUUUUUAUGAUAUUAUUUCAUGUUAUUAUUUUAUUACUUAUUCUUAUAGAAAUAAGUAAAACUAAAAAUAGCAUUAAAAAAAAUAGGUUUAGAAAAGUGUAAAAAAAUGUGAAUAGAACUUUAUAUUAUAAUUAUUAAGCAAAAUUAAAAUUUUGAUACAAACAAAAUAUUUCUUGGGUUUCACUAAAGUGUUAGGUAAUUCAAUAAAUAAUUUUUGCUAAAAAUAGACAAGCUAUAAAUAAAAAUAAAUCUUUUAGAAUGUAAAUUUUAAAGAAAAUUGAAAGAGUUCAGUUUUUUUUUUUAAUUAUUGCAAGUAAAAAUAUUUUUUAAAUUUCAUCAAAAAAUUAGGAUAAUCUAAGAGAUUAUUUUCAUUAAAUAAAGAUUUAUUUGAUGACGACAAAUAAUAAAUAUAAUAAAAAUCAAUUAUUAGGAUAGAUCUUUUAAAAAGGUAAUUUUUAAAGAAAACUUAAAAUGUUCAAUUUUUUAAUUAUUAUAAAGAAAAAACAUUUUUGGAUCUCACCUAUAAGUUGGGAUGAUCUAAAAAAUUAGUUUUACUAUAAAAAGAUUUAUUAAAAAAACAUAAAACGAAUAAAUAAAUAAUGAAAAUAAAGUAAAUAAAUAUGUUUAUUUAAAAAAUAUAUUUUGAGUGAAAAUCUUUGAGGAAAAUUGGAAGAGUCUUAUUUUCCUAAAUUAUUAUCAAGAAAAAAGAUUAAAAUUGGGAUUUCACCUAAGAGUUUAAAUAAUCCUAAAAUUAGUUUUAUAAAAAAAUUACGAUAAAAAAAUUCUCAUGAUGAAAUUUUGAGAAUUUGUGAAAGGUCAAUUUUUUUUAAAAAUUUUCUAAAUAAAGAUAUUUGCUGUAAGUUCUGCUAAAGCAUUGGAGAAUUUAUAGAAUGUUUAAAUAAUAAAUUUUUACAAAAAUAAUAAAAAAAUGUUUGUCACAAAUAAAUUUUAGGAAAUUAGUUUUAAAUAUAAAGAAGACCACGUUAUCAAGAUAAAUAGAUAACACAUAUUUAAUUGGUACCAUUCUUUGAAUGGGCGAUGUGAAAGGGUUAAUACCUUCCUCAUUUGGAAUCAUAUUUUUGGAUCCAAUCUUGAUUUUGUAAACCAAAACAUUAUUUAGUAAAUCUUAAUUAAUUUUAAAGUUUUUAUUAAAGGAUGAUAUUUUAAAUGAUCCAUCACACCUAAUAAAAAAAUAUUUGUGACAAUUACGUAAAAUUUUCUUCUAGUCUAUUGAUAGAAUCUUUUGAAUGAAAAAUUGUUAUGACACUCAUUAUGAUUGAUAGGUAUGUUAUACAUAUUUUACAUGAUUACAACUAAUUUUAAGUUAGGUAUUUUAUAAUGUGAUAAAAUUACAUUGUUUUUCUAACAAGGAAAACAAAAUAAAAAAUGAAGGAACAAAGUGUCAUAAUGUAUAAAUUCUUAGACCUACCGUUAGACAUGGAUUAGAAGAGUCACCACCAAUCUUUUUUUGCUUACAUGUGAUUGGCCAUCUGAUCGAAUCUGAUCUACGAAACCAUAUUUUAGGUUUAAGAAUACGGUUAUACAUAGGGAAGGAUAUAGUUCCCAACGGAACCCAUUCAAAGGAUGGUACCAGUUUGAUUUUAGAUUAUCCAAGCCUUGAUCAUAUUUGUAGUUUACCAAAUUAUUUAGUAUUGAAAAUUAGUCUUAAAAUUGUCCCAAUAUUUGAUAGUAAUUUAAAAUAAUUCUCUCACCUCAGGAGUAUUCAUAGAGACUAGUGUCAUAUACUAAAGAGGCUCUAUUGUUGGAUUUAUUAACAUUUAUUUAUUUAUUUUUAUUUAAGAAAAAUCAGUAAAGUCUCUUAAUAUUUGGUAGGACUUAUUUUGAAGCAAAUCUCCUAAUAGUUUGGUGAGAUUUUAUUGUAAAAAGAUUUAUAAAAUUUUUUUUUUUUGAGAAAAUUCAUUGAGUUUCCCAAUAGUUUGGUAAGACUUAAUCUAAGAAGCAAUCCUCUAAUAGUUUGAGGAAUAAAAAUUAUUUUUAUUUUUCUCUCAUUAUUAUUUUUUUAAAUGAUUUUUGGAAUUUCCUAAUAGUUUGGUGGAUUUUAUUUUAAAAAUUAAAUCCAUAAAGAUUCUUCAAUAGUUUGGUAAAAUUCAUGAAUUUAUUUUACAAGGAUUUUAUUAAAAAAAGAUUAUUUAUUUAUUUACUUAUUUUAUUUACUUUUUUUUAUUUGUCUAAAACUUAUUCGAAAAGAUUUUUUUUGUUUUUAUUUUAUUUUAUUAAUUUAUUAUUUUUUAAAAAAUAAAAGUGAAAUUUUAUGAAAUAUUCAAUAAAAAUAAAUAAAUAAUAAAAAUUAGUAAAAUAAAAGAAAUUGAAAAUAAAAAUAAAUUAAAUUAAAAAAAUAAAGUAAAUAAAAUUAGGAGAAAAUGGAAAUGGAAAACUUGCGAUUCAAAUCGAGUCAACACAUGGGUCAAAGCGCAGGUCGGUGGGUCACAUGCAAAUCCUGGGCUGUCCAAAAUGACAUUGUUUUGGCUCCUUAUAAAAGCCACCUUUAUGCGUUUUUACUCAAAAAUGCCCUGUCCUCUCUCUUUAUCCAAAUUCUUUCUACCCUAUCUCUAAAAACAACCUAAACAUUCAACCAAAAACUAGAUUUGGUCAUCGAUUUCUGGAAAUAUCAAAAUAUCGCUGAAAAUUUCAAAUCCCCAUUAGAAAACUCAUUGAAAAAUUCAUAGUUCUUCCUAAAAACCUAGUUUUCCUAUAAAAUCCCAACUUUUUCCAGAUUCUUUCAUAAACCUAAACCUAAUCCUAAGAACUCACAUCGAAACCCAAAAAGGUUAAUAAUAAUAAUAAUAAUCUAAUAAUAAUAAUAAUAAUACCAUAUAAUACACUAAUAAUAAUAAUAUGAUACAAUAAUACUAUAAUAACAUAAUAUAAUAUAAUAUAACCAAAAAAAAAAAAACUCAGUCCGAAUGACCUUAGACACAGAUGGGUGUCUACACAGAGAUUGGGUGCCUAGAUUCGAUUUUGACCAAUGUCUAAUUCUACUUGUACACAAACUCAUUACUUAUUUACGGGCUUGACAUCAAGAUCAAUCUACUUAAUAGUUUCUCAGCACUCUUUAGAUCAAGAUCUUUUCCACUUAACUAUAUCUAAACAUCUUCAAGAUCAAGAUUAUCUUUACUUACCUGUAUUUCAACACCUUCAGGAUUAGGAUCAUCUUUUUUUAAUUGUGUCUCAACACUCUUGAUAUCAUGAUCAUCUCUUCUCAUUUGUACUUGAACAAUUUGAAGAGCAAGAUCAUCUCUUCUCAAUUGUGUCUCAACACUCUUCCCCCACAAUGUGGCAUAUAUUCCAAUAAUAAUUAGUAAUCCACCUAAAAUGCUAUUAAUUUUGAAAAAAAAAACCAAAAUUAGUGGAAUAUAUGAUAAUGUUAUUUGAUCAAAAAAGUUGAAAGAAAGUUAUUAUAUACCUCCAAAGGUGAAUCUCCUCGUGUAAUAAAGUAGGGCCCAUGAGUGUUGUAAAGAUAAGGGCAAAAAGAGAAGUUGUGGAGACAAAAAUUGGUCCUUGUUGUCGUGUGCACCGUGUUGCAAGCAUUAUUGACAAUCUAGAUGCAAGGAUGGCCUAUCCAUUUUGUUAAACGAAAGAAUAAAUUUAGUGGUAAAAAAAUAUCAUUUACUACUAACUUAUAAACCUUGUAUGUAAACUAAAGCUUAGUAUUUCUAUCUCUUUGUUUUCUCCUCCUAACCCACUCACUGUAGCUAAAAGUUUUUUUUUAUAUCAAAUAUAAGCAAGACAUUGAUUAUAAAUGAAAUAAACGUCUUUUGGUUAUAAAAGGCUAUAACAUCUCUCGGCUAGAUAAGCUUAUUAGAAACUACAAUCCAGCAAACAUUUGCAAAACCACAUUAAUGAAAAAAACAUGCAUGUGAUUAAAAACUAGUUCAAAAACAAAAAACAUUCCAUAGCAAAAAGUAUCUUAAAUCUUGCAAAGUUUUCAAGUAGUCUUGCAAUGUUAUAUAUCCAACAAGCUCAUUAAAUUGGUUUUCAAUGAUCUAUUUUCAUGCUACAGAUGUUAAAUUGUUUUUAUAUUUCAUGUGUAAAUAUAGAAAACAAAUAUAUCAAAUUAAUUUUUCAUAAUUAAAUCUGUGCGAUAAAAUAAAUAUUAAUUUAUAUUUGAUUGAUAGAUUUAUAUUUCAUUUCAUUUGAUUUCAUUUGAUAAAAUAUUAAUGCACUUCGAUUUUAUUUGAUUUCAUUUGUAAAGUUUUAUAAUUUUAAAAUCUAGAUAUUAAUAAAUGUUGAUUUAAUCAAAAUUUAAUUUGUUUUAUUACCAUUACAAUAAAUUUAGUUUUGUUUUAUUGUUCUAAAUUAAAAGAUCUCUAAAUUUUAAUGGUAGGAUAAAAUAUUUCAAUAUAAAUCAACUUGACAUUGUUAGACUAUUAUUAACUCACAAUUUUUAUUAUUUCAAUAUUAACAUUUGUAGUUUAAAAUAAUCUUAUUAAUUAACCUACAACACAUCUUUUGUAUAAGUAGCUCUAGGUUAAGCAUAAUGCAUCUUUAACUAUUUUUCACUAAUUUUAUAUCUUUUGAUUACUGCUUAGCUUCACUUCAAUUUUCUCUCUAAUUUUCACUUUGUAUCAUUUCUUGGUCNNNNNNNNNNNNNNNNNNNNNNNNNNNNNNNNNNNNNNNNNNNNNNNNNNNNNNNNNNNNNNNNNNNNNNNNNNNNNNNNNNNNNNNNNNNNNNNNNNNNNNNNNNNNNNNNNNNNNNNNNNNNNNNNNNNNNNNNNNNNNNNNNNNNNNNNNNNNNNNNNNNNNNNNNNNNNNNNNNNNNNNNNNNNNNNNNNNNNNNNNNNNNNNNNNNNNNNNNNNNNNNNNNNNNNNNNNNNNNNNNNNNNNNNNNNNNNNNNNNNNNNNNNNNNNNNNNNNNNNNNNNNNNNNNNNNNNNNNNNNNNNNNNNNNNNNNNNNNNNNNNNNNNNNNNNNNNNNNNNNNNNNNNNNNNNNNNNNNNNNNNNNNNNNNNNNNNNNNNNNNNNNNNNNNNNNNNNNNNNNNNNNNNNNNNNNNNNNNNNNNNNNNNNNNNNNNNNNNNNNNNNNNNNNNNNNNNNNNNNNNNNNNNNNNNNNNNNNNNNNNNNNNNNNNNNNNNNNNNNNNNNNNNNNNNNNNNNNNNNNNNNNNNNNNNNNNNNNNNNNNNNNNNNNNNNNNNNNNNNNNNNNNNNNNNNNNNNNNNNNNNNNNNNNNNNNNNNNNNNNNNNNNNNNNNNNNNNNNNNNNNNNNNNNNNNNNNNNNNNNNNNNNNNNNNNNNNNNNNNNNNNNNNNNNNNNNNNNNNNNNNNNNNNNNNNNNNNNNNNNNNNNNNNNNNNNNNNNNNNNNNNNNNNNNNNNNNNNNNNNNNNNNNNNNNNNNNNNNNNNNNNNNNNNNNNNNNNNNNNNNNNNNNNNNNNNNNNNNNNNNNNNNNNNNNNNNNNNNNNNNNNNNNNNNNNNNNNNNNNNNNNNNNNNNNNNNNNNNNNNNNNNNNNNNNNNNNNNNNNNNNNNNNNNNNNNNNNNNNNNNNNNNNNNNNNNNNNNNNNNNNNNNNNNNNNNNNNNNNNNNNNNNNNNNNNNNNNNNNNNNNNNNNNNNNNNNNNNNNNNNNNNNNNNNNNNNNNNNNNNGUUUGUUUGUUCUUUUAUUUGAUUUUACUUAGUAGUAAUAAAAUUUACCGAAGCAAAAUGCAAGUAGUUAAAGCAUGAUCGCAAAUACUUUUCUUUAUUGUGUUUCUUCUUCAUUUUAAGAAAAGCAAUAUCAAUUGAAUCAACCACUGCUAUUAAUAGACUCUGUUUAUUGAAAAACAGAAUGUUUUGCUAGUGGUAUUCAUCGGGAAAAUAACUGGAAAAGAAAGGCCUGGUUAAUUGAUUGCUAAAUGCCUCAGGAUGAAUUGUUUUAGGAAUGUGAAUAUUUAUUAAAAAAAAAUCAUAUCCUAACAAUAUGAACCUUCUUUCUGGUUGUAUAUUUUAUCAGUUCUGGGAGUGAAGCGAAUGAGUUAGCAAUGCUGAUGGCCAGACUACACACUGGUAAUCUCGGUACGAUUUACUUGAAGAAUGCAUAUCAUGGUGGCAGUUCUAGUACUAUUGGACUCACAACCUAAAUACAUGGAAGUACUCAAUACAAGAGCUUUGUAUACGGAUCAUGUCUUAUAUAAUCUUAUACAUGUCAUGAUAUUGUUAAUCUGGUUCACAACUAAUAUCAUACUUCCCAUGUUCAAAACUAAUUUCAGUUUUAAGCAGCCAUUCACUUAUUCUUUAACUUUUCCUUCUUGAAGUGCUUGCGCUUCUAUUCAGUCCAUUAGGUACUUCACUAUUCCAGUGUUCCAAUUGCGUUGCAAGCUCAAUAUGAUGUUGAAGUGUGGGGUUUGGCGUGCUAGAGUUGAAGAUGAUGGUAUAAAUAGAUAAAAAAAGUGGUUAGGAUUUAAUAAAUACUUUAAAUUAAUAAAAUACGUAAAAUAUAGGGGCUAUACGGACUCGAACCGUAGACAUUCUUGGUAAAACAGAUCAAACUGAUUAUUAUCAAAAUGAUUCGACCAAUUUCAAAGACCUAACAUGGAUUUUUUUGCAUUGGGCAUCAUCACUUAAUGAAAGUAGAUUAUCUCUACAUUCAUUUUUUUUUUAUUUCAAAAAUUUCAUGAUCCCUUCUCGAACCAAACAUGAAUAUUUUGAUUCAUUUGGUUCUCGCUCAAUUAUUUCUUAUUUAUUGAGACUUAAUUCCCAUAUCUCUUUUUUUUCUAAUGUAAUGAGCUUACCCUUUCCCUCUAUUCUCGAUUCAUAUUCUAAAAUAUCGAAACUGAUCACUAAUCCAAGACCAGAAUAUUCGGAGGAUUCUUCUGACCAAAAUAGAAAAUAUAUCAAAAAACUAAACUAAAAAGUAUAAUAAAUAAAUAAUAAAUAAAAAAUUUACAUAUAAUUAAUUUAUAAUAAUUUAUAAUUGUAUAAUUGUACUUAGAAUUGUAUAAUGUAUAAUUGUAAUUUGUCAGCAAAGUUGUUUCUUUUUUUUUUCUUCAAAUUCAAAGAAUUCUUCUCACUUUAUACAUAGGUCAUCGAUUCAGCAUUGGAAAAAGGGGCUCGAAUCGUUUUAUCGACAUGAGUGUUUUAUAUCGAAAAAACAUUUUCCACUAUUUGAAAAUAUUUCUGUAUUUAUUAACAUAGUAGUAGAAAGAGUACCCUGCUGCAUCUGAACUUCAAACAGUUUGGCCUUAACCAUGUUAAUGGUCUCGGGUUUUUGGUUAAUAGAGAAUCAAAGUCGAUGU
rnacentral:lncRNA from 1 species